AGCUUGGCGCCCCAGAGUACUUCCUGUUUGGGAGACCAUCCAGGAAGCAGCAACGAGUGUCGAGUGUGUCGUGUCGCAUGUUCUCAAAGCGUGGGACACCUCGGUGAUUUUGGGGAACUGAUCUGAUGCUUAGCUCUCCGCCCUGUGCUGCUAAACCAGCUGUGUGCAUCUUGUUGAUCGCCAUGGCCCAGGUGGCCGGCCAGGAAGACGGAGAGAAAACCACAGCGCUCAAAGACUUGCUGUCAAGAAUAGAUUUAGAUGAACUCAUGAAGAAGGAUGAACCCCCCUUCACCUUCCCCAAAACCCUGGAGGAAUUUGAAUAUGCCUUCAAUGAUUGUAAGUAGACAUUUAAAGGCAUGCUCU